GAUGAACGCUGGCGGCGUGCCUAAUACAUGCAAGUCGAGCGAACAGACGAGGAGCUUGCUCCUCUGACGUUAGCGGCGGACGGGUGAGUAACACGUGGAUAACCUACCUAUAAGACUGGGAUAACUUCGGGAAACCGGAGCUAAUACCGGAUAAUAUAUUGAACCGCAUGGUUCAAUAGUGAAAGACGGAUUUGCUGUCACUUAUAGAUGGAUCCGCGCCGCAUUAGCUAGUUGGUAAGGUAACGGCUUACCAAGGCGACGAUGCGUAGCCGAGCUGAGAGGGUGGUCGGCCACACUGGAACUGAGACACGGUCCAGACUCCUACGGGAGGCAGCAGUAGGGAAUCUUCCGCAAUGGGCGAAAGCCUGACGGAGCAACGCCGCGUGAGUGAUGAAGGUCUUCGGUUCGUAAAACUCUGUUAUUAGGGAAGAACAAAUGUGUAAGUAACUAUGCACGUCUUGACGGUACCUAAUCAGAAAGCCACGGCUAACUACGUG
rnacentral:rRNA from 1 species